rnacentral:rRNA from 1 species
GACGAACGCUGGCGGCGUGCUUAACACAUGCAAGUCGGGCGGUAAGGCCCUUUCGGGGGUACACGAGCGGCGAACGGGUGAGUAACACGUGGGUGACCUGCCCUUAGCUCUGGGAUAAGCCUGGGAAACUGGGUCUAAUACCGGAUAUGACUCCAUGACGCAUGUUGUGGGGUGGAAAGCCUUGUGCGGCUAGGGAUGGGCCUGCGGCCUAUCAGCUUGUUGGUGGGGUGAUGGCCUACCAAGGCGACGACGGGUAGCCGGCCUGAGAGGGCGACCGGCCACACUGGGACUGAGACACGGCCCAGACUCCUACGGGAGGCAGCAGUGGGGAAUCUUGCGCAAUGGGCGAAAGCCUGACGCAGCGACGCCGCGUGGGGAUGACGGCC